rnacentral:rRNA from 1 species
GUGCGAUCGCUAUAUGCUGGAUGCUUUAUGCGUAAAAUGGAUUCGUCUGCCCAAGGAUGGGUCUGCGGCCUAUCAGGUAGUAGUGGGUGUAAUGUACCUACUAGCCAACGACGGGUACGGGUUGUGAGAGCAAGAGCCCGGAGAUGGAUUCUGAGACAUGAAUCCAGGCCCUACGGGGCGCAGCAGGCGCGAAAACUUUACAAUGCGGGAAACCGUGAUAAGGGGACACCGAGUGCCAGCAACAUUUGUUGGCUGUCCAGGUGUGUAAACUACACCUGUUAGCAAGGGCCGGGCAAGACCGGUGCCAGCCGCCGCGGUAACACCGGCGGCCCGAGUGGUGAUCGUGAUUAUUGGGUCUAAAGGGUCCGUAGCCGGUUUGGUCAGUCCUCCGGGAAAUCUGACGGCUUAACCGUUAGGCUUUCGGGGGAUACUGCCAGGCUUGGAACCGGGAGAGGUAAGAGGUACUACAGGGGUAGGAGUGAAAUCUUGUAAUCCCUGUGGGACCACCUGUGGCGAAGGCGUCUUACCAGAACGGGUUCGACGGUGAGGGACGAAAGCUGGGGGCACGAACCGGAUUAGAUACCCGGGUAGUCCCAGCCGUAAACGAUGCUCGCUAGGUGUCAGGCAUGGCGCGACCGUGUCUGGUGCCG